CUCUUUCUCUUUCCAGAGGCUGCCUGCAUUUCAGCCGUGAAAAUAAGACCGUGAGGAGCCAAGGAUACCCCUGCCCCUGGCCCCUCGUGAGAAGCCAGGGGUCCCCCCCAGCCCCUAAGGCCCCAGAACCCACGCCAAGAGGGGGCUGCCUCUCCCCCUGGACUUCGCCCUGCUUCCCAGCCCGGCCCUCGCUCCAGUGGGACCUGCGUGGCCAUGGCUUUCCUCUGGCUGGCGGUGUUGCUGAUGCCCGUCUCCUGCCUUCUGUCAGUGCACCAGGAUCCAGACGCACCGAUUAGGAACUUAAGGAUAGAGCCGGAAAGUGGACGGCUGAGCUGGGACUCCACGGAAAUGUCUCCGAAAUUACGUGUUACAUCAAUUCGAACGUGAAAAGCGAAAGGUGUGCCACGCUCCUGUCCUUGGCCCCAGGAGUCGCCACCUGCGCCCCGGGGCCUGAGAGCCAGCCGGGCCCAAAGUCCGCUUUCCUCUCGGGUGUCACAGGAGGGACACAGGUUCUCCUGGGGGCUCAGCAGUGGGAUGCGGGGUCACGGCUGGGCACCGAGGCUCAGGUGCCUGGUCCUGAGCAUCUGGGGUGGUCCCACUGGAGGGGUGGGUGUGGAGAUGGGCUGAGAUGCUGCAGGUGGAGAUCUGAGCCCAGCUGAACAUGAGAGGUCGGGAGCACUGCACCCCCGCCCCGCGACAGACCCCCGGCCCCCCACCACGUCCCAGCCACAGCUCCCUCCUGGGUCAGAGGGUUCAGGGAGCCUGAGGAUCGAGGUGGGUCUCCUGGGCGGUGUCGGUGAGAAUGCCAACCCUAGAAAUGUCUCAGGAAGGAAAGAACAUUUGUCAAUUCCUCGAGAACACACCGGGUCCUCUCACCUCAAUAUUAUUAUUAUUUUUAUUAUUAUUAUUAUUAUUAUUAUUAUAUUAGAGUGGAUGUACAGGGUUGUGCCAAUGUCUGCUGAACAGCGCAGUGACCCGGUCAGACAGAGAUACACAUUCUUUUUCUCAUAUGCGCUUCCAUCGCGGUCUGUCCCUAGAGGCCGGACAGAGUUCCUGUGCUGCGCAGCAGGACUCAUGGCGUCUCCAUUCUCAAGUCAGAGUUUGCAUCUACGAACCCCACACGCCCCGUCCAUCCUCUCCCUCCCUCCUCUCCUCCCUGGCACCCCCAGUCUGUUCUCCUCAUCUGUGAGUCUGUUUCUGGUGGGUUUUGUCAAUUUAAUUUUUUAAUCAACGUGAUAGCUGCACAGGGAUUAAAGAGAGAAAUGGUUGUACAAGGUUUGUGUUGACAAAAUAGCAGCCCCCCCCCGCCCCAGCCUCAGAAACGCCACUUCCCUUCCUCUUUAGCCCAAUUCUGUUGUUCCUUCCCUCUGUCUCUAUGACACAGAGUCCCGAUGAACUCCGUUUGGCGAAAAAUUGUGGGUUUUUCCUCCUAAGCAGCAGGAGGCUUGACCUUUUCUUUCCUACUCCAACUCACGCCCCAGUAUAUCUCACGCUCGUUCUUUCUCUCUCUCUGCUCUGGGUCUCUGUCUCUGUUUCUCUCAGUCUCUGUGUCUCUGUCUCUCUCAGUCUCUGUGUCUCUGUCUGUCUCUGUUCUCUGUCUCUGUCCCCUCAGGCUCUGGGUCUCUGUUCUGGGUCUCUGUCUCUCUCCUCCCUCCCUCUCCCCGCCCCACCUCUACGGAUGCGGCGACUUGGAUGUGAGACUUUGAGAAUGGGUCCUACACUGCGUUCUUUUUACCCUGGACACUCUCUCGUCUACAUUUCUGGUUCCCCUCGUGGUGAUGAAACAACCCUCUUCUCAGGCACAGAACAACAGGUACUGCGCCGUUCAGCCCAUCCAUGCUCAGUGACCAACUACACGGUCUCCGUGAACCAAGGGCCGCCGUUGUCCACGUUCUCCACGUGGAUCCUGUAUCUGAGCCAGGUGACCGGGGAACGCUCUCGGGGGGCGUGGGGGGGGGGCGUUUGCACGUGAUCCUUCCUUCGUGUUCUUGUUUUAAAGGGCUGCACCUGCGGCACAUGGAGGUUCCCAGGCUAGGGGUCAAAACAGAGCUGUAGCUGCCCGCCUACACGCAGCUCACACCUUAACCCACUGAGUGAGGCCAGGGAUGGAACCUGUGUCCUCAUGAAUGCUAGUCAGACUCAUGUCUGCUGAGCCACGAUGGAAACUCCAUGUUAUUUCUUAAAAAUAUGAUUCUGGGGAGUUCCUGUUGUUGCUCAGCAGAUUGAGAACUCAGCCACGAGGCUGCAGCUCAGAUUCAGCCCCUCGCCUGGGAACUUCUGCGUGCCGCAGGUUUGGCCCU
rnacentral:lncRNA from 1 species